UUUAAUAAUGAUUUAAGCCGGGUGAAGGGUGUAUUUGGGUUUAUGUCAAAGCCCCAUGGACCUACUUUGCAGGGCUGAUGGGAAGAAUGACAACUGAUAGGGAGGGAGAGAGGGGGUUGGAUGCUCUUUCGGAGAUUCCCCUUCUAAGGUACCACUGAUUUCAGGGUGACCCCAGUGCUUCCUACAUGGCAGACUCUUAGUGGAUUCUUCUGGCUUGCAUGAAUGCGUGAGCAUAUGGAUGAAUGAAUGUGAAUGAACCUGGCCCACGAUGGGUUGGAGAACCAGUCUGUCACAAGAUCAGAAACAGAAUCUAAUUUCUAGGUCAAACAGAAUGAUGAAAUGAUUCUGUAUGUUUCCCAGUUAAGCAAAUUGCACAUUUAAAGGCAUCUUUAUCUAUCACUAUCAUAAGGACCAAAAUACUCCUACACCUUCCCGCCUUAUCCUGGUAGACAAGGCACAUGAGAAGAUUUACUAAAACCUCCACUCUGAAGCCAUAUCCCCACUAUUCACACCUCACAGAGACAACACUGCUCUGAGUUCCCCUGCUGUUAUCUUUUGCUUGCCCUGCCCAACAUGUGUCCCUGUGCUCCUGAUUAGCCUAAGUUCCCUGGCUUCAGGACUGUCUGUAUCCUACACCUGCAAAUCACAUUGCUUUUGUAUGGCCACAGAAAUUGGUUUAGGGUUGGGCAUUUGACUCAAGCCAAAUCAACUGAGGCCCAGUCAAAACCAAUCCUGGAACUUUUGUAUAAGUGACUGGAAAAGAGGUGCAUAAAUUUUGCCUUUGGACUUGAAGUUGGGAGAGACAUACCUACACAGACAGAGAGUCUGCUCAAUAAAACCGAUUGGAGAGAUAGCGGAUUCAGACAUCAUUUGAUCCCCUGGAUCCAGCUAUACCUGAGUGCCCUGCAUGCGGUAUGAGCUGAGAGAAGCCAGGUGGCUAGACAGACUUCCCCGCAGGUGGAAGCUGUGGAUACCUGAGUGUCUUGGCUACGAAUGCGGUCAGGUGACUUCAUCCUG
rnacentral:lncRNA from 1 species